GGCCCUACGGGGCGCAGCAGUUGCGAAAACUCUGCAAUGCACGAAAGUGUGACAGGGCUAUCCCGAGUGCCGUCCGCUGAGGAUGGCUUNUCUCCGCUGUAAGGAGGCGGAGGAAUAAGGAGAGGGCAAGCCUGGUGUCAGCCGCCGCGGUAAUACCAGCUCUCCGAGUGGUGAGGAUGAUUAUUGGGCUUAAAGCGUCCGUAGCCGGCCUUUCAAGUCUCUUGUUAAAUCCAGCGAUUCAAUCGUUGGACUGCGGGAGAUACUGUCGGGCUAGGGGGCGGGAGAAGCCGACGGUAUUCCCGGUGUAGGGGUAAAAUCCUAUAAUCCCGGGAAGACCACCAGUGGCGUAGGCGGUCGGCUAGCACGCGCUCGACGGUGAGGGACGAAAGCUGGGGGAGCGAACCGGAUUAGAUACCCGGGUAGUCCCAGCUGUAAACGAUGCGGGCUAGGUGUUGGAGCGGCCACGAGCCGCUUCAGUGCCGCAGGGAAGCCAUUAAGCCCGCCGCCUGGGGAGUACGGCCGCAAGGCUGAAACUUAAAGGAAUUGGCGGGGGAGCAC
rnacentral:rRNA from 1 species